UCACACGACAUAGGUUCAAACAAUAGCCAACAUACAUAUAUAUAAACAUACACAUAUAUUUAGUUAUUUAGGAUAUUUAUUUUAAUAGCUUGUCUUCGGCUUACCCAAUUCAAAGUGGACUGUCUGAUGACACAGAUACAGCCGUUACCUGGAUGUGAUGUAGAUAAGUGGCAGGAAUAUGCCAGUUAAAAGUCGAUUACAGAGAGUAUAGAACUAUUUUAAAGGAUGAUAAUGUAUUAUUUGUUGGCGGUUGUAAAAGUGGUGCCACAUUUAACGUCGUCCGCAGCUGGAAUAUACGAAAUAAGACAUGGCAAAAUUUACCCGCCAUGAACCAAGCAAGAAGGAGACACUGCGUUGUCAAAUUAUGUGGUAAAAUCUGCGCGAUGGGUGGUUAUGAGGGUACUAGUGAAUCGGUGGAAAGAUAUACGACUUCCGAUGGUUGGAAGCUUGUGAACUGCUUAAUUGAUGGACGAUAUGACGCAGUUGCUGUGACUUUGAAUGGUAAAAUUUACGUUAUGGGCGGUUGUGAUGGCUACUGGCCAUUAAAAUCUGUCGAAUGUUACAAUCCGGAUUUGGAUGCUUGGACUUCUUGCGCGGAUAUGACAAACGGUCACAGAUAACCUGGUGUAGGUAGCUGCACAUAGAGGUCACAUUUAUGUUUUAAGCCGUAGCGGUGCUGAAGGUUACGACCUUCAGCUAGAAUAUGGUCACAGAUUUGUUCUUUGGAAGUUGGCGGUGGUCAAAUAGCUUGCGUAUAGCUAGACAAUAAACUAUGGGCCAUUGGUGGGAAGCCUGAAUCUGUUGACAAGUCAUGUGUAUCAGUCUUUGAUGAAGAAAAUUCCUGUUGGGUAGUAAGGUGCUCAUUACCCGAAAGUGAAAUGCGUAACUGUUUUGUAGUGCCUGAAUCCUUGCUGUCGUCGAUGUGAAUAAAUAAUGUAAUUAUUGUUCCCUUUUUCGAUUUCACAAAUUCUUUUAAAACAAA